CAUAGCAUAAAAGGGAGUUGAGGACACGGCUCAAAGCAUACCUUUCUCGGCCUUUUGGCUAAGAUCAAGUGUAGUAUCUGUUCUUAUCAGUUUAAUAUCUGAUACGUGGGACAUCGUCCCACAUGAUAUUAAAUUUAUUUUUUAAGGGGAAGGGCCCAUCACAAUAGCUUGCUAUUGGGGUCCUUGAGCGUCGCCCUUGCGUUGCACUACUGCUUGGGCCUGGCGCACCCCUCCAAUUAAAGUCUAUAAAUGCCUUCACAGUUUCAUUAGCUAAUUUGAUUGAGUGUAGAACAUAACCCAUUGUGUGACUGCAGGAAGCUUGCUCACCUAAGUGUCUCUUGGAUAGUUAAAAGAUUAGGAAGAAGAAUGUGAUUAGAAAUGGUCCUUGAAACUGAGGUGUGUGGAGGAUAAGAGUGGAGCUUGGCUUUUGUCAACAAGAUCUAUCUCCCAAAUGUGGCUAAGAUUUGAGUUCAACCAUGUACUUUAGCUUCUGUGGGUGGUAUCUUCUGUUGUAACUCAAAUUCAAUGAGGAAUUCAAUUUUUUUUUUUUUUUUUUUUUUAAAGCAUUACACUUUUGGAGGUUCUUGAGUCUUUGGUCUGGCUCUGUCUGUCUAAAUGGUACUCAGAGCUUGAUGUUUGAUAACAUAGUGUGCCAUGUCAAUGAUUUAAUAUAGUUUGUACGAACUCUGGACACAUGAAUUUUUUUUUUUCAUGCAUUAUUUAUGGUUUAAUGCAUAAAAUUGUUGAUUUCAGAAGUUGAUAAAAGUAUUUUUAAUUUGUUUUCA